CUUACGGGAGGCAGCAGUGGGGAAUUUUCCGCAAUGGGCGAAAGCCUGACGGAGCAACGCCGCGUGAGGGAUGAAGGCCUCUGGGCUGUAAACCUCUUUUAUCAAGGAAGAAGAUCUGACGGUACUUGAUGAAUAAGCCACGGCUAAUUCCGUGCCAGCAGCCGCGGUAAU
rnacentral:rRNA from 1 species